GACGAACGCUGGCGGCGCGCUUAACACAUGCAAGUCGAGCGGGAACCGGGCCUUCGGGCCCGGGGACAGCGGCGAACGGGUGAGUAACACGUGGGUAAUCUGCCCUCGGUACUGGGAUAGCCCGGGGAAACCCGGAUUAAUACCGGAUAGCCCUUCGAGCCUCCGGGCUCGCAGGAAAAGGUAGCUUCGGCCUCCGACCGAGGAUGCGGCCGCGGCGGAUUAGCUUGUUGGUGGGGUAACGGCCUACCAAGGCGACGAUCCGUAGCUGGUCUGAGAGGACGAUCAGCCACACUGGGACUGAGACACGGCCCAGACUCCUACGGGAGGCAGCAGUGGGGAAUCUUGCCCAAUGGGCGAAAGCCUGAGGCAGCGACGCCGCGUGCGGGAAGAAGGCCCUCGGGUUGUAAACCGCUUUCAGGAGGGACGAAGCCACUCGGGUUAAUAGCCCAGAGGGUGACGGUACCUCCAGAAGAAGCCCCGGCUAACUACGUGCCAGCCGCCGCGGUAAGAC
rnacentral:rRNA from 1 species